rnacentral:rRNA from 1 species
UAAAUGCGUUCACUAAGGGCCUAUAAAUUUACGUGUGUGCAUCGCACUUUGACCCCUUUCUUUAAUUAGAGAGCGCGUGUCUUAGUUUUCGCUUUGCUCAUACAAUUAGGUCCUGAAAGCAACGAACSUGRCCGCAACCUCUUGUUGCCUUUAUACCAAACAUGUUUUGCGUCAAUUUUCGAAUUGCGCGCAUUUCAUGAAAAAAGGCUUUUUAAACUAGAGGGACCGCUGUUACUUUCUUAAACCAGAGGAAGGUUGCGGCAAUAACAGGUCUGUGAUGCCCUUAGAUGUUCCGGGCUGCACACGUGCUACAAUGAUUAUUGCAGUGAGCAUCUCAUUUUUACACACCGCAUGCGCGAGUCCAUUUAUUCACCUUCGGGUGUUUUAAAUGUGUAUCUCUGCGCGCGGUAAAGCCUGCUUCGACAGUAAGUGGGUAAUCAAUUAGAAGUAAUGAUUUCCUUUUUUUUAGCACACAUAUAUACGGCGUCUAUGCCCGGGUUACCUUGUUGUAGCUUUUGUGCGUAUAGAUGUUUUUUCCGUAUGUGCGAUUGUCAAUUCAUGGUGGGGACAGACCAUUGUUAAUUGUUGGUCUCGGUCUUAACUAGGAAUGCCUUGUACGGGUCUUUGGUUCAACAAACCACCCGGAAUACGUCCCUGCCCUUUGUACACACCGCCCGUCGCUCUUACCGAUGGACUUCUCUGUGAGUUUGAGGGACUGGGAACGCAGGAAUUUAUUUCUGCACACCUAUGGAAACUUAAACGAACAGUGUGGUCUAAAGGAAAGAGAAGUCGUAACAAGGCAUAA